GACUAGUGACAGAGUGAGGGAAGGGGUGACUAGUGGCAGGGUGAGGGAAGGAAGGGGUGACUAGUUACAAAGUGAGGGAGGUGGUGACUGUCACUAGUCACCACCUCCCUCUGUCACUACUCCCUCCUUCUGUCACUAGUCACCCCCUCCGUUCCUUACUCUGUCACUAGUCACCCCCUAACUCACUCUGUCACUAGUCAUCCCCCUCGCUCACUCUGUCACCAGUCAUCUGCUUACUCUGUCACCAGUCACCCCUUCCUUCCCUCACUCUGCCACUAGCCACCCCUUCCCUCACUCUGUCACCAUUCAUUC